GGGGCUGAUUCUGGAUUCGACGGGAUUUGCGAAACCCAAGGUGCAUGCCGAGGGGCGGUUGGCCUCGUAAAAAGCCGCAAAAAAUAGUCGCAAACGACGAAAACUACGCUUUAGCAGCUUAAUAACCUGCUUAGAGCCCUCUCUCUCUAGCCUCUGCUCUUAGGACGGGGAUCAAGAGAGGUCAAACCCAAAAGAGAUCGCGUGGAAGCCCUGCCUGGGGUUGAAGCGUUAAAACUUAAUCAGGCUAGUUUGUUAGUGGCGUGUCCGUCCGCAGCUGGCAAGCGAAUGUAAAGACUGACUAAGCAUGUAGUACCGAGGAUGUAGGAAUUUCGGACGCGGGUUCAACUCCCGCCAGCUCCACCA
rnacentral:tmRNA from 1 species